AUACGGAGGGUGCAAGCGUUAUUCGGAAUCACUGGGCGUAAAGGACGCGUAGGCGGGUUGGCAAGUCAGAUGUGAAAUCCUACAGCUUAACUGUAGAACUGCAUUUGAAACUGCUAACCUAGAGUAUGAGAGGGGGAGAUGGAAUUAGUGGUGUAGGGGUAAAAUCCGUAGAUAUCACUAGGAAUACCGAAAGCGAAGGCGAUCUCCUGGAACAUAACUGACGCUAAGGCGUGAAAGCGUGGGGAGCAAACAGGAUUAGAAACCCUAGUAGUCC
rnacentral:rRNA from 1 species